GCUGUUUCUAUUUAGAAAGGUCAGGCUUCCUAUGGAUAUCAACAAAGCACCCCAUAUCAUGCUGUGGGUUAAUACAAUUAUUUUUGUUGGUUUAAUUUUUGUGUCUUCAUUUUGUUUUGCUUUUAGUUUCAGUUUUUGUUUUUGUGUUUUUUGCAGUAUGAUCAUGUAGUUCAGGCUGGCAUUGCACUUACUAGGUAGCUCAGGAUGACCUUCUUCAGGAUCCUCCUGCAACCAACAUCCAAGUGCUGGACUUCCAGGAAUAGCCUGCAGUGCUUUGAAACACUGGUUUCCUAACCCUCUCCUUUGUCUUUCAACUGUUUGUGUUAAAGAGGAAACAUUCUAUUUUCCAUUAAAAAUUUAAUACCAUGACACAAGAGAUUUUUAGAUUGGCUUCACAGUUUUAGGUCACUUUAAGACCUUUGAUGUGUUCUCUCCUUUCCUACCAUUGGUUACUCACUUGUUCCCACAGUCAUACUGUGGAAUGUGCUGGGAGGUACUUAGUGUAAGAUGUAAAUUAGACAUUGGUGGGAAGCCACCUGCCAAAUUCUGGGACAGAGUAUUUGUGGGUGAUGUCCAGACCUACAUUGUCCUCUCCAAUUGUACACUUGGUACAUUCUUAUGAAAAAGAAGUCAGGGUCUCUGAGGUUGGUAGCAUUCCACAUCUCUUAGAUUGGAGCUUUAUAGAAGACAGAAGUUGUGGGGCCUUGAGGUGAAGACAAUGUCUACAUAAUUGAAGACAGUCUUUACCCUACACAAUGAGUACCAGUGGCCCUCUGAGGGAACUUCUGCCUGAUACUGGAAGAACAGCAACUGGAUUUGACAGCACAACCACCCACAAACACCCUUUACAGCUCCAGGACUCUUUUCUGUGUGUAUUCAUCCAACAGUGGUGGAGUAUACUCAGCUGUGUAUACUCAAAGUCACUGUCUACAUCAACCUAUUUCUUACAUCACCACUGUCUCAGUUACUCCACUCACUGCAGCACAUUCUCUCAAAUAUGAGCAUUUUAGACUUUAUGUCAAUA
rnacentral:lncRNA from 1 species